rnacentral:rRNA from 1 species
GACGAACGCUGGCGGCGCGCCUAACACAUGCAAGUCGAACGGAGUUUCCCCUUCGGGGGAGGCUUAGUGGCGGACGGGUGAGUAACACGUGAGGAACCUGCCUUUGAGAGCGGGAUACCGUCUGGAAACGGACGUUAAUACCGCAUAAUGCAGCGAGGCCACAUGGCCAUGCUGCCAAAGAUUUAUCGCUCAAAGAUGGCCUCGCGCCUGAUUAGAUAGUUGGCGGGGUAACGGCCCACCAAGUCUGCGAUCAGUAGCCGGACUGAGAGGUCGAACGGCCACAUUGGGACUGAGAUACGGCCCAGACUCCUACGGGAGGCAGCAGUGGGGGAUAUUGCACAAUGGGCGAAAGCCUGAUGCAGCGACGCCGCGUGAGGGAAGACGGUUUCGGAUGUAAACCUCUGUCUUCGGGGUACGGAAACAAGACGGUACCCGAGGAGGAAGCCACGGCUAACUACGUGCCAGCAGCCGCGGUAAU